GACGAACGCCGGCGGCGUGCUUAACACAUGCAAGUCGAACGGAAAGGCCUGCUUUCCCUUGUGGAUUGCGGGUACUCGAGUGGCGAACGGGUGAGUAACACGUGAGUGAUCUGCCCCCAACUUGGGUAUAAGCCUGGGAAACUGGGUCUAAUUCCCGAUAGGACUGCAGGGUGGUGCCUGUGGUGGAAAACGAUUUUCUAGUGGUUGGGGAUGAGCUCGCGGCCUAUCAGCUUGUUGGUGGGGUAAUGGCCUACCAAGGCGGCGACGGGUAGCCGGCCUGAGAGGGUGGACGGCCACAUUGGGACUGAGAUACGGCCCAGACUCCUACGGGAGGCAGCAGUGGGGAAUAUUGCACAAUGGGCGGAAGCCUGAUGCAGCGACGCCGCGUGGGGGAUGACGGCCUUCGGGUGGUAAACUCCUUUCGACCGCGAGGAAGCCACCUGGUUGGAAGGGUGGUGACGGUAGUGGUAGAAGAAGCACCGGCUAACUACGUG
rnacentral:rRNA from 1 species